CCCAGAUAUGGCUGCCAUGAAAUCUGCUUCUGAUUUGAAGGAAGAUCUCAGCUCUACAAAAAAUUUUGUUUUUGGUAUUAAAGUUAUGCUGGCCUCAGAGAAUGAGUUAGGAAGCAUUCUCCUCAUUUAUCUUGAAAGGUCUUGUCUCCUUCCAAAGGAGAAUGAAGGGGUAUUUACAUUUUUUAAUCCUUAUGUUGCAUUCUGACGUCAGGUGUCCUUCCUCAC